rnacentral:snRNA from 1 species
GAACACAAUGACAUGAAUGAAU